rnacentral:rRNA from 1 species
CACGUAGGCGGAUCGGUAAGUCAGAUGUGAAAUCCCGGAGCUCAACUCCGGAACUGCAUUUGAUACUGCCAGUCUUGAGUGAGGUAGAGGGGGGUGGAAUUCCCGGUGUAGAGGUGAAAUUCGUAGAUAUCGGGAGGAACACCAGAAGGCGAAGGCGACCCCCUGGGCCUUUACUGACGCUGAGGUGCGAAAGCGUGGGGAGCAAACA